rnacentral:rRNA from 1 species
CGGUAAUUCCAGCUCCAAUAGCGUAUAUUAAAGUUGUUGCAGUUAAAAAGCUCGUAGUUGAACCUUGGGCUUGGNUGGCCGGUCCGCCUUUUUGGCGAGUACUGGACCCAACCGAGCCUUUCCUUCUGGCUAACCUUUCGCCCUUGUGGUGUUUGGCGAACCAGGACUUUUACUUUGAAAAAAUUAGAGUGUUCAAAGCAGGCCUUUGCUCGAAUAUAUUAGCAUGGAAUAAUAGAAUAGGACGUUAUGGUUCUAUUUUGUUGGUUUCUAGGACCAUCGUAAUGAUUAAUAGGGACGGUCGGGGGCAUCAGUAUUCAGUUGUCAGAGGUGAAAUUCUUGGAUUACCUGAAGACUAACUACUGCGAAAGCAUUUGCCAAGGACGUUUUCAUUAAUCAAGAACGAAAGUUAGGGGAUCGAAGAUGAUCAGAUACCGUCGUAGUCUUAACCAUAAACUAUGCCGACUAGGGAUCGGGUGUUGUUCUUUUUUUGACGCACUCGGCACCUUACGAGAAAUCAAAGUCUUUGGGUUCUGGNGGGAGUAUGGUCGCAAGGCUGAAACUUAAAGGAAUUGACGGAAGGGCACCACCAGGAGUGGAGCCUGCGGCUUAAUUUGACUCAACACGGGGAAACUCACCAGGUCCAGACACAAUAAGGAUUGACAGAUUGAGAGCUCUUUCUUGAUUUUGUGGGUGGUGGUGCAUGGCCGUUCUUAGUUGGUGGAGUGAUUUGUCUGCUUAAUUGCGAUAACGAACGAGACCUUAACCUACUAAAUAGUGCUGCUAGCUUUUGCUGGUAUAGUCACUUCUUAGAGGGACUAUCGAUUUCAAGUCGAUGGAAGUUUGAGGCAAUAACAGGUCUGUGAUGCCCUUAGACGUUCUGGGCCGCACGCGCGCUACACUGACGGAGCCAACGAGUAUUAACCUUGGCCGANAGGUCUGGGAAAUCUUGUGAAACUCCGUCGNGCUGGGGAUAGAGCAUUGUAAUUAUUGCUCUUCAACGAGGAAUUCCUAGUAAGCNCAAGUCAUCAGCU